UACGGGGGGAGCAAGCGUUGUUCGGAUUUACUGGGCGUAAAGGGCGCGUAGGCGGCCAGCACAAGUCAGUUGUGAAAUCUCCGAGCUUAACUCGGAAAGGUCAACUGAUACUGUGCGGCUAGAGUGCGGAAGGGGCAACUGGAAUUCUUGGUGUAGCGGUGAAAUGCGUAGAUAUCAGGAAGAACACCCGUGGCGAAGGCGGCUUUCUGGGACGGUACUGACGCUGAGACGCGAAAGCGUGGGGAGCGAACAGG
rnacentral:rRNA from 1 species